UUCCUGAUGCUGGGGUAAGGUUUUAAUAGAAGCGUCGAGCACACAGCAGGCAGAACUAGUGACUGCACGGUUUCUGCCCUGGUGCCCCUACCUGCAGCAAGGGGAGCAAGGAGCGGGAGCCCCUGAGAUGGCCCUCAAUCUUCAGAGGGGGCUUUACUCCCUCCAGGGUGGAAAACAGGCUGCAUCCUGAGACUGUCUUGAGCACAUGUCCUUGGGGGGACAGUGAAAGUGAGGCGGGAGAAAGGCAGACCGGAUAGCUCCGUCCUCACUUGCAGAGACCCCUGGCCAGAGCUGAGGAGGGAGAGACAUGGAGACCAUGGGCAGCUGAACUUUCCUCCUGGUGAAAACAAAGCAAAAUGAAAGUGAAGUCUGGUGAAGCUAAAAGGAAACAUGAAACGCGGAUUGGAGAGCUUUGGCAGCAGGGAGGAGCGCACAUCCAGAAUGGCGUGUGACUGGAUCUCCAGGGACCCCCAUCUAGAUGGGAGGACCUCUGGCACUCCAGGUCAGGCUGCGUGGGAGGCUCCUGCCCUGGGAUCUCCUCCCCCGGGUACACCCCUGUGGAAGAGGCUAGUCCCAGGCAGGACUGGCGGGAGGAGAAGAGCAGGGGUCCCCUCCUGGGAUCUCACCCUCCCUACACGGGCAAGAAAGGAGACUGACAGGAGAAGAUGCCACAGCAGCUCAGUGAGGAAAGCAUUUGGGGACACGAUUGGAAAACGAAGCCUUGGAAUAGCUAUUUCUUGGAAAGUCUUUGGAAGAAAUGUAACGACGAUUUAUCAAUUCCAGGGACAGUUGACUUUGGUUCACCACCUGCUCUUUCUCCACUGGGAAGAAACUCAGUGUUUUCUGGAAAAAAAGAAUGGAAUUGAUGCUGACAUGGUUUGAGAAAUGGAGAAGGUACUAAACAAGGCUUGUUUCUCUCAUUUCUAUGUCCCUUUUAAAAGGAUGUGUGCUAUUCAAUUAGUAAAUUCAAUUAAAAUUGAUUGAGAGCCCCCA